CAGGACGAACGCUGGCGGCGUGCUUAACACAUGCAAGUCGAGCGGUAAGGCCCUUUCGGGGUACACGAGCGGCGAACGGGUGAGUAACACGUGGGUGACCUGCCUUUAGCUCUGGGAUAAGCCUGGGAAACUGGGUCUAAUACCGGAUAUGACUCCGCGGUGCAUGCUGUGGGGUGGAAAGCCUUGUGCGGCUGGAGAUGGGCCCGCGGCCUAUCAGCUUGUUGGUGGGGUGANGGCCUACCAAGGCGACGACGGGUAGCCGGCCUGAGAGGGCGACCGGCCACACUGGGACUGAGACACGGCCCAGACUCCUACGGGAGGCAGCAGUGGGGAAUCUUGCGCAAUGGGCGAAAGCCUGACGCAGCGACGCCGCGUGAGGGAUGACGGCC
rnacentral:rRNA from 1 species